rnacentral:rRNA from 1 species
GACGAACGCUGGCGGCGUGCUUAACACAUGCAAGUCGAACGGACCCUUUGGGGUUAGUGGCGAACGGGUGAGUAACACGUGGGUGAUCUGCCCUGCACUUCGGGAUAAGCCUGGGAAACUGGGUCUAAUACCGGAUAGGACUACGCACUGCAUGGUGUGUGGUGGAAAGCUUUUGCGGUGUGGGAUGGGCCCGCGGCCUAUCAGCUUGUUGGUGGGGUGAUGGCCUACCAAGGCGACGACGGGUAGCCGGCCUGAGAGGGUGACCGGCCACACUGGGACUGAGAUACGGCCCAGACUCCUACGGGAGGCAGCAGUGGGGAAUAUUGCACAAUGGGCGCAAGCCUGAUGCAGCGACGCCGCGUGAGGGAUGACGGCCUUCGGGUUGUAAACCUCUUUCGCCAGGGACGAAGCGCAAGUGACGGUACCUGGAGAAGAAGGACCGGCCAACUACGUGCCAGCAGCCGCGGUAAUACGUAGGGUCCGAGCGUUGUCCGGAAUUACUGGGCGUAAAGAGCUCGUAGGUGGUUUGUCGCGUUGUUCGUGAAAACUCACAGCUUAACUGUGGGCGUGCGGGCGAUACGGGCAGACUGGAGUACUGCAGGGGAGACUGGAAUUCCUGGUGUAGCGGUGGAAUGCGCAGAUAUCAGGAGGAACACCGGUGGCGAAGGCGGGUCUCUGGGCAGUAACUGACGCUGAGGAGCGAAAGCGUGGGGAGCGAACAGGAUUAGAUACCCUGGUAGUCCACGCCGUAAACGGUGGGUACUAGGUGUGGGUCUCCUUCCUUGGGAUCCGUGCCGUAGCUAACGCAUUAAGUACCCCGCCUGGGGAGUACGGCCGCAAGGCUAAAACUCAAAGGAAUUGACGGGGGCCCGCACAAGCGGCGGAGCAUGUGGAUUAAUUCGAUGCAACGCGAAGAACCUUACCUGGGUUUGACAUGCACAGGACGCCGGCAGAGAUGUCGGUUCCCUUGUGGCCUGUGUGCAGGUGGUGCAUGGCUGUCGUCAGCUCGUGUCGUGAGAUGUUGGGUUAAGUCCCGCAACGAGCGCAACCCUUGUCUCAUGUUGCCAGCACGUUAUGGUGGGGACUCGUGAGAGACUGCCGGGGUCAACUCGGAGGAAGGUGGGGAUGACGUCAAGUCAUCAUGCCCCUUAUGUCCAGGGCUUCACACAUGCUACAAUGGCCGGUACAAAGGGCUGCGAUGCCGUGAGGUGGAGCGAAUCCUUUCAAAGCCGGUCUCAGUUCGGAUCGGGGUCUGCAACUCGACCCCGUGAAGUCGGAGUCGCUAGUAAUCGCAGAUCAGCAACGCUGCGGUGAAUACGUUCCCGGGCCU